CCUACGGGAGGCAGCAGUGGGGAAUCUUGCACAAUGGAGGAAACUCUGAUGCAGCGAUGCCGCGUGAGUGAAGAAGGCCUUUGGGUUGUAAAGCUCUUUUGUAGGGGAAGAUAAUGACUGUACCCUAAGAAUAAGGUCCGGCUAACUUCGUGCCAGCAGCCGCGGUAAUACGAAGGGACCUAGCGUAGUUCGGAAUUACUGGGCGUAAAGCGCGCGUAGGCCGUUGAGUUAGUUAAUUGUGAAAUCCCAAAGCUUAACUUUGGAACUGCAAUUAAAACUGCUCGACUAGAGUUUGAUAGAGGAAAGCGGAAUACAUAGUGUAGAGGUGAAAUUCGUAGAUAUUAUGUAGAACACCAGUUGCGAAGGCGGCUUUCUGGAUCAACACUGACGCUGAGGCGCGAAAGUAUGGGUAGCAAAGAGGAUUAGAUACCCUCGUAGUCCAUACCAUAAACGAUGAUUGCUAGAUGUUGGAAAUUUAUUUUACAGUAUCGCAGCUAACGCAUUAAGCAAUCCGCCUGGGGAGUACGACCGCAAGGUUAAAACUCAAAGGAAUUGAACGGCUGAGAGUGCGAGNGACACGAGGAGAGG
rnacentral:rRNA from 1 species